CCUACGGGAGGCAGCAGUAGGGAAUCUUCCACAAUGGACGAAAGUCUGAUGGAGCAACGCCGCGUGAGUGAAGAAGGGUUUCGGCUCGUAAAGCUCUGUUGGCAGUGAAGAACGAUCGAGGUAGUAACUAGCCGUUAUUUGACGGUAAUUACUUAGAAAGUCACGGCUAACUACGUGCCAGCAGCCGCGGUAAUACGUAGGUGGCGAGCGUUGUCCGGAUUUAUUGGGCGUAAAGCGAGUGCAGGCGGUUCAAUAAGUCUGAUGUGAAAGCCUUCGGCUCAACGGGAGAAUUGCAUCAGAAACUGUUGAACUUGAGUGCAGAAGAGGAGAGUGGAAUUCCAUGUGUAGGGGUGGAAUGCGUAGAUAUAUGGAGGAACACCAGUGGCGAAGGCGGCUAUCUGGUCUGCAACUGACGCUGAGGCGCGAAAGCAUGGGUAGCGAACAGGAUUAGAUACCCGGGUAGUC
rnacentral:rRNA from 1 species